AACGAACGCUGGCGGCAGGCUUAACACAUGCAAGUCGAACGCCCCGCAAGGGGAGUGGCAGACGGGUGAGUAACGCGUGGGAAUCUACCUAGUUCUACGGAACAACACAGGGAAACUUGUGCUAAUACCGUAUACGCCCUACGGGGGAAAGAUUUAUCGGAAUUAGAUGAGCCCGUGUAAGAUUUGCUAGUGGGUGGGGUAAUGGCCUACCAAGGCGACGAUCCUUAGCUGGUCUGAGAGGAUGAUCAGCCACACUGGGACUGAUACACGGCCCAGACUCCUACGGGAGGCAGCAGUGGGGAAUAUUGGACAAUGGGCGAAAGCCUGAUCCAGCCAUGCCGCGUGAGUGAUGAAGGCCUUAGGGUUGUAAAGCUCUUUCACCGAUGAAGAUAAUGACGGUAGUCGGAGAAGAAGCCCCGGCUAACUUCGUGCCAGCAGCCGCCGUAAUAC
rnacentral:rRNA from 1 species